rnacentral:rRNA from 1 species
CAUGCUAGGAUGUGAUGGGGAAUCCCUCCGGGGCGAAGUAGCUGAUUUCACACUGUCAAGAAAAGCUUCUAUCGAGUUUAAAGGCGCCCGUACCGUAAACCGACACAGGUGGGUGAGGAGAGUAUCCUAAGGCCAGCGAGAGAACUAUUGUUAAGGAACUCGGCAAAAUGACCCCGUAACUUAGGGAGAAGGGGUGCCUGUCUAUGACAGGCCGCAGAGAAUAGGCCCAAGCGACUGUUUACCAAAAACACAGGUUUCUGCUAAGUCGCAAGACGAUGUAUAGGGGCUGACGCCUGCCCGGUGCUGGAAGGUUAAGGGGAUCUGUUAGAGCAAUCGAAGCAGUGAACUUAAGCCCCAGUAAACGGCGGCCGUAACUAUAACGGUCCUAAGGUAGCGAAAUUCCUUGUCGGGUAAGUUCCGACCCGCACGAAAGGCGUAACGAUUUGGGCACUGUCUCAACAAUAGACUCGGUGAAAUUGUAAUCCCGGUGAAGAUGCCGGGUACCUGCGACAGGACGGAAAGACCCCAUGGAGCUUUACUGUAGCUUGACGUUGGGUCUUGGUACUACAUGUACAGGAUAGGUGGGAGACUAUGAAGCAUGGACGCCAGUCUGUGUGGAGUCAUCCUUGGGAUACCACCCUUGUAGUACUGGGAUCCUAACCAUAGGCCUUGAAUCAGGUCUUGGAACACCGUCAGGUGGGCAGUUUGACUGGGGCGGUCGCCUCCUAAAAAGUAACGGAGGCGCUCAAAGGUUUCCUCAGCACGGUCGGAAAUCGUGCGAAGAGUGUAAAGGCAAAAGGAAGCUUGAUUGCAAGACAUACAGGUCGAGCAAGGACGAAAGUCGGACUUAGUGAUCCGGUGGUACCGCAUGGAAGGGCCAUCGCUCAACGGAUAAAAGCUACCCUGGGGAUAACAGGCUUAUCUCCCCCAAGAGUCCACAUCGACGGGGAGGUUUGGCACCUCGAUGUCGGCUCAUCACAUCCUGGGGCUGUAGUAGGUCCCAAGGGUUGGGCUGUUCGCCCAUUAAAGUGGUACGCGAGCUGGGUUCAGAACGUCGUGAGACAGUUCGGUCCCUAUCCGUCGCAGGCGUAGGAAAUUUGAGAAAACCUGUCCUUAGUACGAGAGGACCGGGAUGGACGUACCUCUGGUGUACCAGUUGUUCUGCCAAGGGCAUGGCUGGGUAGCUAUGUACGGAAUGGAUAAGCGCUGAAAGCAUCUAAGCGCGAAGCCAACUUCAAUAUAAGAUUUCCCACCGUAAGGGUAAGACCCCAGGAAGACUACCUGGUUGAUAGGUCGAAGGUGUAAGUGCAGUAAUGUAUUUAGCUUAUCGAUACUAAUAGGUCGAGGACUUGACC